GACGAACGCUGGCGGCGUGCUUAACACAUGCAAGUCGAACGGAAAGGCCCUGCUUUUGUGGGGUGCUCGAGUGGCGAACGGGUGAGUAACACGUGAGUAACCUGCCCUUGACUUUGGGAUAACUUCAGGAAACUGGGGCUAAUACCGGAUAGGAGCUCCUGCUGCAUGGUGGGGGUUGGAAAGUUUCGGCGGUUGGGGAUGGACUCGCGGCUUAUCAGCUUGUUGGUGGGGUAGUGGCUUACCAAGGCUUUGACGGGUAGCCGGCCUGAGAGGGUGACCGGCCACAUUGGGACUGAGAUACGGCCCAGACUCCUAUGGGAGGCAGCAGUGGGGAAUAUUGCACUAUGGGCGGAAGCCUGAUGCAGCAACGCCGCGUGCGGGAUGACGGCCUUCGGGUUGUAAACCGCUUUCGCCUGUGACGAAGCGUGAGUGACGGUAAUGGGUAAAGAAGCACCGGCUAACUACGUGCCAGCAGCCGCGGUGAUACGUAGGGUGCGAGCGUUGUCCGGAUUUAUUGGGCGUAAAGGGCUCGUAGGUGGUUGAUCGCGUCGGAAGUGUAAUCUUGGGGCUUAACCCUGAGCGUGCUUUCGAUACGGGUUGACUUGAGGAAGGUAGGGGAGAAUGGAAUUCCUGGUGGAGCGGUGGAAUGCGCAGAUAUCAGGAGGAACACCAGUGGCGAAGGCGGUUCUCUGGGCCUUUCCUGACGCUGAGGAGCGAAAGCGUGGGGAGCGAACAGGCUUAGAUACCCUGGUAGUCCACGCUGUAAACGGUGGGUACUAGGUGUGGGGUCCAUUCCACGGGUUCCGUGCCGUAGCUAACGCUUUAAGUACCCCGCCUGGGGAGUACGGCCGCAAGGCUAAAACUCAAAGGAAUUGACGGGGCCCCGCACAAGCGGCGGAGCAUGCGGAUUAAUUCGAUGCAACGCGUAGAACCUUACCUGGGUUUGACAUGGAUCGGGAGUGCUCAGAGAUGGGUGUGCCUCUUUUGGGGUCGGUUCACAGGUGGUGCAUGGCUGUCGUCAGCUCGUGUCGUGAGAUGUUGGGUUAAGUCCCGCAACGAGCGCAACCCUUGUUCACUGUUGCCAGCACGUUAUGGUGGGGACUCAGUGGAGACCGCCGGGGUCAACUCGGAGGAAGGUGGGGAUGACGUCAAGUCAUCAUGCCCCUUAUGUCCAGGGCUUCACGCAUGCUACAAUGGCUGGUACAGAGAGUGGCGAGCCUGUGAGGGUGAGCGAAUCUCGGAAAGCCGGUCUCAGUUCGGAUUGGGGUCUGCAACUCGACCUCAUGAAGUCGGAGUCGCUAGUAAUCGCAGAUCAGCAACGCUGCGGUGAAUACGUUCCCGGG
rnacentral:rRNA from 1 species